rnacentral:snRNA from 1 species
CUUCUUGCGCAGUGGCAAUAUCGUAACCAAUGAAGGCCUCCUGAGGUGCGAUUAUUGCUAGUUGAAAACUUUUACCAAUACCCCGCCAUGAAGCCGUAGAAAAUCAUUAAAAGUGUUAAUAUAAAAAAUA